CAUAGAACGUUGAUGGGGAAAAGUACUGCUCUGACGGAUCCAGAGACGCGGUGGCUGGUGUGAAUCGCGACGGAUGAGUAGGAAAUCCACCCCGGAGUGAAAGUAAUGCUUUCCGGUACCGACCGUUAUCAGGCUUGAGAGGAAAUGUUUCACGUGAAACAUUUCAAAAAGGGUGGCAACACGAGGUAUCGUCCCUUAG
rnacentral:ncRNA from 1 species